rnacentral:rRNA from 1 species
UACAGAGGUCCCGAGCGUUGUUCGGAUUCACUGGGCGUAAAGGGUGCGUAGGUGGCAUGGUACGUUUGAUGUGAAAGCUCAGGGCUUAACCCUGAAAUGGCAUUGAAUACUACUGUGCUGGAGGUUUGGAGGGGGGACUGGAAUUCUUGGUGUAGCAGUGAAAUGCGUAGAUAUCAAGAGGAACACCAGUGGCGAAGGCGAGUCCCUGGACAACACCUGACACUGAGGCACGAAAGCUUGGGGAGCAAACAGG